rnacentral:rRNA from 1 species
UACGGGGGGGGGCAAGCGUUUGUUCGGAAUUACUGGGCGUAAAGGGCUCGUAGGCGGCCAACUAAGUCAGACGUGAAAUCCCUCGGCUUAACCGGGGGAACUGCGUCUGAUACUGGAUGGCUUGAGGUUGGGAGAGGGAUGCGGAAUUCCAGGUGUAGCGGUGAAAUGCGUAGAUAUCUGGAGGAACACCGGUGGCGAAGGCGGCAUCCUGGACCAAUUCUGACGCUGAGGUGCGAAAGCGUGGGGAGCAAACAGG